GACGAACGCUGGCGGCGUGCCUAACACAUGCAAGUCGAACGAGAAAGCGGUAGCAAUAUCGUGAGUAAAGUGGCGAACGGGUGAGUAAUACGUAAAUAAUCUGCCCUUCAGUGGGGGAAAACUCAGGGAAACUUGAGCUAAUCCCCCGUAGAGUAACAGAACCGCAUGGUUUUGUUAUUAUAGAUUUAUCGCUGGAGGAGGAAUUUGCGUCUGAUUAGCUAGAUGGCGGGGUAACGGCCCACCAUGGCUAUGAUCAGUAGCUGGUCUGAGAGGAUGAUCAGCCACACUGGGACUGAGAUACGGCCCAGACUCCUACGGGAGGCAGCAGUGAGGAAUAUUGCGCAAUGGGCGAAAGCCCUGACGCAGCAACGCCGCGUGUAGGAUGAAAUCC
rnacentral:rRNA from 1 species